UUUCGUAAGAAAAUUAGUGCGAAAAUCCUCCAAGUGCAGUGUAAUGUAACAAAGUAACAAACAGAAAAAUGGAUAGAGAAAAGAGGGGAGGGAUCAGAAAUACAGAAUACUGAUAAGAAAAAUAAUCGUGAAUGAUCCGUCCGAUGUCCGAUUCAUCAUUCAUCUCGAUUGAAAAUAAAAAUAUUAAAAUAAUUGAAAAGUCAGAAAAGUGUGAUCUUACAUACAUAAGGUGACGGAGAAUGGAAAAUAAUGAGGAGCCAUCUACAUCUCAUUACAAGUUAGAAAACUCUGCAGAUGAUAAAUCUAAGAAUGACAGUCAAACGGAUGUUGCAAACGAUUUAUCCAAUCUGUCUUUGAGUUCGCUUAAUCGCCAGGAUUCAGAUUCUUUAAAAACAGAUUCUGUUCAAAAUGAAUCAUUUUCGGUAUCUUCGGCGAGUGGCUCGAAAUCUUGCCAUUCUCCUUUAAAUCUUGAAUUACUGAAUGAAAUGGAAGCUGAAGCCAAUAGAAUAGCAGCUUCCGUUGAUGAUCUAACAGAGAACCUUACUGGAAUCUUGAGAAGCAUAUCGGCAUUAACUUUGGACUGUUUAGAGACGUAUCGUAACUGCAUAUGUAAAACUUGCGACGCAAUUGAUUAUAAUAUCAAAUUAAUGUAUCAGUUGAUGGCUAAAUGUGAAGAAUUGAGUAAAAUUGCCGAACCUUUAAAUACUUUAUCGCAAAAUAUUAAAGAUAUAAAGAAUGUUUUGGAUAUGUUCGAAAAUACCAUGAAUCCUUGGUGAAUUUUCGAAAUGGCUGCUGCUCAGUUAGACGGAUCUAUAUCAGAAGAUCAGAUUAAAUCGUUUAAGGAUUUUUUGCUAUCAUAUAAUAAGUUAUCAGAAACCUGUUUUGAUGCAUGCGCAUUCGAUUUCACCCAACGAC